rnacentral:rRNA from 1 species
GACGUAGGGCGCGAGCGUUGUCCGGAUUUAUUGGGCGUAAAGAGCUCGUAGGCGGCUUGUCGCGUCGUCCGUGAAAACUUGGGGCUCAACCCCAAGCUUGCGGUCGAUACGGGCAGGCUAGAGUUCGGUAGGGGAGACUGGAAUUCCUGGUGUAGCGGUGAAAUGCGCAGAUAUCGAGAGGAACACCAGUGGCGAAGGCGAGUCUCUGGACGACUCCUGACACUGAGGCACGAAAGCUGGGGGAGCAAACAGG